rnacentral:rRNA from 1 species
AAAGCUUACCAUUGGCAAGUUCGUAACGGGUAGCUACAGUAGAGCUUGCUCUCGGGUGACGAGUGUCGGACUGGUGAGUAAUGGUGCUGCGGUAAACUGCCUGAUGGAGGGUGAUAACUACUGGAAACGGUAGCUAAUACCGCAUAACGUCGCAAGACCAAAGAGGGGGACCUUCGGGCCUCUUGCCAUCAGUUGUGCCCAGAUGGGAUUAGCUAGUAGGUGGGGUAACGGCUCACCUAGGCGACGAUCCCUAGCUGGUCUGAGAGGAUGACCAGCCACACUGGAACUGAGACACGGUCUAGACUCCUACGGGAGGCAGCAGUGGGGAAUAUUGCACAAUGGGCGCAAGCCUGAUGCAGCCAUGCCGCGUGUGUGAAGAAGGCCUUCGGGUUGUAAAGCACUUUCAGCGGGGAGGAAGGGAGUAAGGUUAAUAACCUUGCUCAUUGACGUUACCCGCAGAAUAAGCACCGGCUAACUCCGUGCCAGCAGCCGC